rnacentral:rRNA from 1 species
CUAUACAUGCAGUCGAGCGGACAGAAGGGAGCUUGCGUCCCGGAUGUUAGCGGCGGACGGGUGAGUAACACGUGGGUAACCUGCCUGUAAGACUGGGAUAACUCCGGGAAACCGGAGCUAAUACCGGAUAGUUCCUUGAACCGCAUGGUUCAAGGAUGAAAGACGGUUUCGGCUGUCACUUACAGAUGGACCCGCGGCGCAUUAGCUAGUUGGUGAGGUAACGGCUCACCAAGGCGACGAUGCGUAGCCGACCUGAGAGGGUGAUCGGCCACACUGGGACUGAGACACGGCCCAGACUCCUACGGGAGGCAGCAGUAGGGAAUCUUCCGCAAUGGACGAAAGUCUGACGGAGCA